CCUUCUUUUCCUGGUUGAAAUGAUACAAUCUCUUUGUUUGCAGUUUUAUUCUGCUGCACACCAAGGAGUGGUCUGUAUCACAAUCAGCAUCCUGAUAGCUGCAUGUGAUCAUAAUACUGGGAAG